AGAGUUUGAUCAUGGCUCAGAACGAACGCUGGCGGCAGGCUUAACACAUGCAAGUCGAACGCUCGUAGCAAUACGGGAGUGGCAGACGGGUGAGUAACGCGUGGGAACAUACCCUCCGGUUCGGAAUAACUCAGGGAAACUUGAGCUAAUACCGGAUACGGCUUAGCGGCGAAAGAUUUAUCGCCGGAGGAUUGGCCCGCGUUCGAUUAGCUUGUUGGUGAGGUAACGGCUCACCAAGGCGACGAUCGAUAGCUGGUCUGAGAGGAUGAUCAGCCACAUUGGGACUGAGACACGGCCCAAACUCCUACGGGAGGCAGCAGUGGGGAAUAUUGGACAAUGGGCGCAAGCCUGAUCCAGCCAUGCCGCGUGAGUGAUGACGGCCUUAGGGUUGUAAAGCUCUUUCGCUCGGGACGAUAAUGACGGUACCGAGAUAAGAAGCCCCGGCUAACUUCGUGCCAGCAGCCGCGGUAAUACGAAGGGGGCUAGCGUUGUUCGGAAUUACUGGGCGUAAAGCGCGUGUAGGCGGGUCUUUAAGUCAGGGGUGAAAUGCCAAGGCUCAACCUUGGAACUGCCUUUGAUACUGAAGAUCUUGAGUCCGGGAGAGGUGAGUGGAAUUGCGAGUGUAGAGGUGAAAUUCGUAGAUAUUCGCAAAAACACCAGUGGCGAAGGCGGCUCACUGGCCCGGAACUGACGCUGAGACGCGAAAGCGUGGGGAGCAAACAGGAUUAGAUACCCUGGUAGUCCACGCUGUAAACGAUGGAUGCUAGCCGUUGGGGAGCUUGCUCUUCAGUGGCGCAGCUAACGCUUUAAGCAUCCCGCCUGGGGAGUACGGUCGCAAGAUUAAAACUCAAAGGAAUUGACGGGGCCCGCACAAGCGGUGGAGCAUGUGGUUUAAUUCGAAGCAACGCGCAGAACCUUACCAGCUUUUGACAUGUCCUGACGAUUGCAGAGAUGCGAUCUUCCCUU
rnacentral:rRNA from 1 species